ACAAAAAUAUUUACUAUUUUUAAAGUACAAGUUUUGUGUUUUAAUGAAAGAAAAAUAACAAAAAAAAAAAAGGUUUCUUUUAAUCUAGUUUUUUUAGUUAAUUACCUUUUAAAUUUUUCCUUAGUGUAAUGAUUUAAGUUUUUCUUAUUUUUUGAUUUAAAAGUAGUUGAUUAAUAUUUUAUCUAGGUGUUUUUAUUUAAUCAAAUGAAAAAGAAAAUCGAACCAAUAAUAGCCCGCCACUUGGAAAAAUUCCACCCUAUCCACACAAAAAAAGCACAUUCCAUUUUAGGGAGGGAAUAUUCCUUUCAUCCUUCAAGAUAUUUUUAUUCAUAUGGGCAUUUUGGGAAAGGGAAAAAAAUAACACACUCAAAAUUCUAGACUAGAUACCCUAUAAAUAUCUAAUUAUAGAAACCUAGACUGCACCUACCAUUACCUAAUAAUCAGCCGCAUACCUACAAACACAUUACCAGCCUCUACACACCAUCAUCGACCAUAAAAACACAAGAUCCUAAUAGAGAAACACAUGAAAAUAAGCCGCACACGAAACAAAAAUUAUCAGACGUAGAAACCUUCUUCUUCAAUUCUCUAAAACACCCACCAUAACAUCUCCCAAAAACCACACUUUCGCUGGUGUUUCUUGUUUGUGGGUGAGGUCUCGUUCGAGGUCGUCAGCAUAUUUUCGGGGCAAAGGUUCUUGCUUUUUCUCUAUGAGAGUGUAGUUGUUGUCCAUUUCAACUAUUGUACACAAAGUUGGAAGUUCUUAUCAAUAUUGCAGAAGGUCUAUGCAGUUUAAGGUUGGUCCAUUGCUUAAGGUCGUAUUAGUCAUAAGUGGGUGCUUAUCAUGCUUUAGAAGAAAUGUUCUGCUUUCAUUCAGCAAAUAAGUUGGAUUAUGAGGUGGUGAAAUCAACACUUGAUUCUAGUUUGUGAUUUUGGGAGCUUAAAUUGGAUCAUGUCACUUUAUUUUCACUAUUUUUGUCGCUAUGAGUAUGAUUAGGCCAAUGAAAAGUAUUUUUUCAAUUGCAGUUCUUCAUUGGGUUUAGUGUGUAUUUUAUCAUAUUGAAUUCGUCUGUUUUAUGGAUUCAUUUUAAAUGCACAAUCUUGUUGGAUACAACA